UACGUAGGUGGCAAGCGUUGUCCGGAUUUACUGGGCGUAAAGAGCGCGCAGGCGGUCGUUCAAGUCGCGUGUGAAAGCCCCCGGCUCAACUGGGGAGGGUCACGCGAUACUGAUCGACUCGAAGGCAGGAGAGGGAAGCGGAAUUCCCGGUGUAGUGGUGAAAUGCGUAGAUAUCGGGAGGAACACCAGUGGCGAAGGCGACUUCCUGGCCUGUUCUUGACGCUGAGGCGCGAAAGCUAGGGGAGCAAACGGG
rnacentral:rRNA from 1 species